AGGACAGCCCUGAGGGGCCGUGGCAUGCUUCUGUCCCAUGUGGUGCUGAUGGGGGGUGGGUCUCGGGCUCUGCUGAUGAGUAUCAGGGCUGGGUCCUGGAACCCAGGCUGGCUGCACUCUGGGGGCGCUUCUGGGGACGGCUAGCCAGCCCCCUGGGCUGAUGGUGUGGUCACACCUGCUGGCCUUGGCGGUCAUGUCUCAAAUGGGAUCACAGCUCUGCGGGAGCUUUGGCAGAGGAAGGUGGGAAACAUCUGGGUGAAAAGGAAGUGGGCCGUGCUCCUGUGUCUUCGAGGCCUCGGCCCCUCAGCUCUUCUCUCUGUGCCCCUCUCUUUGGUGGAAGCAGGAGACGUUCUCUUCCAGAUGGCUGAAGUCCACAGGCAGAUCCAGAAUCAGCUGGAAGAAAUGCUGAAGUCUUUUCACAACGAGCUGCUCACACAGCUGGAGCAGAAGGUGGAGCUGGACUCCAGGUAUCUGAGUGCUGCGCUGAAGAAAUACCAGACUGAGCAAAGGAGCAAAGGCGACGCCCUGGACAAGUGUCAGGCUGAGCUGAAGAAGCUUCGGAAGAAGAGCCAGGGCAGCAAGAAUCCUCAGAAGUACUCGGACAAGGAGCUGCAGUACAUCGACGCCAUCAGCAACAAGCAGGGCGAGCUGGAGAAUUACGUGUCCGACGGCUACAAGACCGCACUGACAGAGGAGCGCAGGCGCUUCUGCUUCCUGGUGGAGAAGCAGUGCGCCGUGGCCAAGAACUCCGCGGCCUACCACUCCAAGGGCAAGGAGCUGCUGGCGCAGAAGCUGCCGCUGUGGCAACAGGCCUGUGCCGACCCCAGCAAGAUCCCGGAGCGCGCGGUGCAGCUCAUGCAGCAGGUGGCCAGCAACGGCGCCACCCUCCCCAGCGCCCUGUCGGCCUCCAAGUCCAACCUGGUCAUUUCGGACCCCAUUCCGGGGGCCAAGCCCCUGCCGGUGCCCCCCGAGCUGGCACCGUUCGUGGGGGUGAGUCUGGCCUCUGGAAAGC
rnacentral:sRNA from 1 species